GGGUAUACACGUUUCAAUGGCUAAACAGCAUUUUCUGUCAAGACUUACACGAUUUAUGAGGUAUCCUUACAGACACAGAAAGAAUGAAAAAGUUUCACACAGAGAACAGAAUUCCUCAGAGUGUAGCGUAAGGUCGUAAAGUUUAGCUGACAGUUAGAAUAACCCUUUCAAUGCUGGCUAGACCUCCUAGGUAAUUAAGAUCUAUUCUUAUGUAAUUUUAAAUAAAAUAACAUUUAAACCAGUUCAUUAGUCAUUUCCUGGAACCAUCCAAUAAGAAUAAUCUACCAGAUUUUUACAAAAGCAGAAUUUUAAUUUGCCUAAAAAGAUAUCUUAUCUUAUAUUAGAGCAAAUCAAUACACCUGGAUAAAAACAGCGGUAUGCUAACAUGUGAUACCAUCACAUCAAUAUAUAUAAUUAUUCUUAAUUCCACCUGCAGAAUGGAAUGUUUAUAA